rnacentral:rRNA from 1 species
ACGGGAGGCAGCAGUGGGGAAUAUUGCACAAUGGGGGAAACCCUGAUGCAGCGACGCCGCGUGAGCGAAGAAGUAUUUCGGUAUGUAAAGCUCUAUCAGCAGGGAAGAUAAUGACGGUACCUGACUAAGAAGCCCCGGCUAACUACGUGCCAGCAGCCGCGGUAAUACGUAGGGGGCAAGCGUUAUCCGGAUUUACUGGGUGUAAAGGGAGCGUAGACGGCAAGGCAAGUCUGAUGUGAAAACCCAGGGCUUAACCCUGGGACUGCAUUGGAAACUGUCUGGCUCGAGUGCCGGAGAGGUAAGCGGAAUUCCUAGUGUAGCGGUGAAAUGCGUAGAUAUUAGGAAGAACACCAGUGGCGAAGGCGGCUUACUGGACGGUAACUGACGUUGAGGCUCGAAAGCGUGGGGAGCAAACAGGAUUAGAUACCCUGGUA